AAGUAAAAUAUUUGUACGUCGCUUUGGAUAAAAGCCUCUGCUAAAUGGCUUAUA
rfam:Salmo salar isolate Sally breed double haploid chromosome ssa26, whole genome shotgun sequence.